rnacentral:rRNA from 1 species
UACGUAGGGGGCAAGCGUUGUCCGGAAUCAUUGGGCGUAAAGAGCGCGUAGGCGGUCCGGUAAGUCGGUUGUGAAAACUGGGGGCUCAACCUUCAGAGGUCGACCGAAACCAUCUGGCUAGAGUCCGGGAGAGGAGAGUGGAAUUCCUGGUGUAGCGGUGAAAUGCGCAGAUAUCAGGAAGAACACCCGUGGCGAAAGCGGCUCUCUGGAACGGUACUGACGCUGAGACGCGAAAGCGUGGGGAGCGAACAGG